rnacentral:lncRNA from 1 species
GUCUAAUCCUCUGCGAUGGGGCCAGUCUGCAGAUCCGUCUGGGCGGGCUGCGGUAGCAUUCUCCACCUGCCAACACUCAGUUGCUGAGGCAGGGUCUCACUUCAUCUCAGCCUCCAGAGUAGCUGAAACUACAGGCAGGAGAGAGAGUGGUCUCACAACGGAAGGGCACCAGCCACUGAGAAGUCCUAAGGCCGUGUUUGAGUUCUGGCUCAUCUUUUUUGCUAAUUUGCUCUUAUGCAUAUCACCCAACCUCGCUAAGCCAGUUUCAUCAUCAGCGAGAACAGCACACUGACAUGCAGGGCCAGCUCAGGCGCUACCACAAGCUACACAUCCGUCCAUUCGUUUAAUCUUCACAGCAGCCCUGGAGGAAACACAGCACAUUCACAAACAUCUGAAGCCAACUGCAAGGCACCCGUCACUCAGCGAGAAAAGCAGAAAGGUGCCAAUUCAGAUGGCUGAGCUACUUCGCCUGGGUCCCGACCUGUAUCACCACAGGGUCACAGAAAUGGAACCUUCUCCGUCACACCUCCUGAUGGCAGUCAGCUGUGACCCGCUGAAUCCAGGACAUCAUGCAUUCCAGUUUCAUUUGCGAGAACAUUUCCAGGUCCGGCUGAAGCCUAGUGGCUCCAGCAGAGGUCUCAACCCCUUUGGGAUGCUCAGUGGGAGACAGAAUCAAGGGCCAAUGAUCCAUGACCUAGUCCUAGUGCCCAUGUCAGUUUGUCAAAGGCCCUCAGAGCAGAUUGUGUUUUCCCUGGCGGGGGCUUGACUUCUUUGCUUUAAAAAGGAUUCUUAAGUAUUUAUUGCAGUAAAAUUAACCACCUUCAAAUUUCUGCCAGAUCCCCUGGAGGUAUAUAGCUUAUUAACACAAAACAAAUGUGACACUUGAAAGGCAGGAGACUUGGUUUCUAUUCUCUGGCCCACUACUGACUUAUUGGGUGGCUUCAGGCAAAUAAGUGAAAUCAAGAAGACACCAUCUUCAACAAGCACAGAGUGGGCACCUGGCAGGUGAGCAGUGCCCUGUGAGGUCUGGGGCUGGGUUCGGUGGUGAAACUAGGUCAGCACACACAGCCCUUUGCUGGGGGCCCACUGCCUGGGGUAGGAUUUUUGUAGCUGGGUUCAAGGUGGACAUGCUGAAAUGUGACCCUAAAAUGUUUGUACUCUUGAAGCUGAAGGAGUGGGAAGAAACCUGUCAUUUAAAGAAGGACAGUAUGGCCAGGUGUGGUGGCUCACACCUGUAAUCUCAGCACUUUGGGAGGCCAAGGUGGGAGGAUCACUUGAGUCCAGGAGUUUGAGACUAGCCUGGGUAACAUAGGGAGACCACAUCUCUACAAAACAUUUAAAAAUUAGCCAGGCAUGGUGGGAUGUGCCUGUAGUCCCAGCUACUCAGGAAGUUGAGGCAGGAGGAUCACUUGAGCCCAGGAGGUCAAGGCUACAGUGAGCUAUUGUCAUGCUACUGCACCCCAGCCUGGGUGACAGAGUGAGACCCCGUCUCAAAAAAAAAAAAAAAAAAAAAAAAAAAAAAAAAAAAAAGAAGGAAAGGAAGGAAGGGAGGGAGGGAGGGGAGAAGGAAGGAAGGAGAAGGCAGGCAGGAAAUCAAUAUGACAGCAUAGCACUGGAGCUAAGAACACACCUUCUAGAAGCAGACUCUAUGAAUUCAAAUCCUGGGUCUACCAUUUAUAAGCUGUACUUUCCUCUGUAAAAUAUGAAUCUACAGUACCUACUUCUCACAGAUUGUUAUAAAGAUGAGAUGUGUUAAUAUAGAUAAAGUAAGCACUCAGUGAAUAUGAGGCAUUAACCAGAACCCAACAAGGUGCCAUCAUCAAAUAUAAUAAUUGAGUGCAUAACUUUUUUCAGUUUACAAAGCAAAUUUACAUAUAGCAUUUCUUUUGGAUCUCACAAAACUCCAUGAGAGCUGGCAAAAUACUUCCCCCCAUUUUCUUUGAAGCUCAUACUCUCCUUGUUUACUCCCUUACAAGUCACACUUGAACAAAGUGACCAGGCAGAUUUGGGAAAAAGCAAACAAACAAAAAACACCAGAUAGACCUUUAAGAAAUUAAAAAACAAAAAACAAAAAACAAAAAACUGUUAACACAGAAAUCUCAGUUGAUGGGCUAAAUGGCCCAUCAUUCUAAGAAUAGUUGGGAAGACAAUGCUUUAGAUGCCAUCUACACGCUGUUAGUUCCAUCUCAGUCAUCUCUCCUGAAUAACAGCAUCCACCUGCCUGCUCAUUUCCAAUGGAUUUCUAAUAGAGAUCUCAGACUCAACAUGUCUAUAAAAAGAGCUCCUUGUUUCCCACCCCCCCUCAAUAAAUAAGAUAGUGGAUAAAUUAUGAUAUAUUCACACACUAGAAUAUUCUGGCAAUAUGAAGGAACUGUAGCUAUUCCUGAAAACAUGGAUGAAUUUUGCAAAUAUAUGGAGGAAAAUCUCAAGUUCCAAAAAGACCAUGCAAAGUCCGAUACUAUUUUUAUAUGUCUCAAAAUACCUUUAGCAACACACAUUUACUCAUUACACUGUGAUAAAAAUAUAUGUUUGUUUAAAAAUCAGGAUAAUUAUAAAUACAAAUUUCGGAAUAGUGGGAAAGCAGGAAAAUGCUAGGAAUAAGAUACUUAGCGAGAUCUCCAAGUAUUUGUAAUGAGCCAAUUCUUAAGUUGGAUGGUGGUUCACUGGAGCACCUUUAAAAUUGUGCUUUAGAGUUUACUUGUAUGUUACAUACCAUCUUUUGUAUAUAUCAAAUAAUUAUAAAUUAAAAAGACAGAAAUGCCAUCCACAAAAAUGAACUGUGCUGAAGUAAUUCAUAUUUCAAAACAAUAAGCUAAGCAAUGAAGGAAAGUAACUCUUGCUAAAAAUAUGAGGAAGUUAAUUUAUGCUAAUAAAGUUGGUUAUGGAAUAUAAUUACUUGAGCAAGGAUGACUAAAAUAUGUCUAUACUAUGUGUAUCAAAUGCCAAGGGGGAAAUGACCAGGGUAUUUACAGAUCAGAACAAAUGUAUUUAUGAAGAAUCUUUUUUUUUUUUUUUCUAUUUUGCAGACUUUCUUUUUUAAAAGCAAAAUAAAUUGACAUGACUUGUUCAGGGUUAACUGUUUGGCAGGUGGAUGAUCUGUGGCCAUCCAUGAUGAGAUCACCUCCCUGCCCCGCUGGCCCCCAGCCUCUAGAAGUCAGGGCUUCUGAGGCCCAGAAGCUCAGCGCCACACCUGUUGAAGGCCAGUGAUGUCAGAGUUACUCUUCCUUCCUCCAGCAGCACUGACAGCAGUUUAUUGUACGCAAUUUCUAGAACUCAGAUGUUCUAGAAGGAAGCAAACAUAUUCUGAGAUCACAGACUAUGACUAUGCUCUCAGAAUAUGUUCUAGAACACCUAAGUUGCAAUUCUUAAAAUCAACACAGCGUAAGACUGCUUUAGGAGGAAGUGAUCAAGCUCAAAGCAACCUAGGCAUGAUGUGCCUUGUUUGUUUAUCUGUUUGAACAGGAAUAAAACGAAAAGAGGCCUGUGUAUUUCUCGUAUUUUUAUAUAAGAGCUGGAGCUAUUUGAACGGCUAAGGAGAAGAAGAUAGUUUGAUUUAGAUUUGGCAUGGGUUUAGGGGAAGAAACGUCUCUGUAGCUGGUCCUAAAUAUUAUGGUAACUUGGACUGAAUCAGUCUCCAAGGGAGAAGCUGCCACAUGUUAUAACAGAAGCCACUGGGCUUGGCAAGAAACAAAUGAAAAAAAGUACAACGAAAGCAACCCCACUUCUCCAUCGUGGCGGGGAUGAGCUAGGCAGGACGACUGCAUGUCUUCCUUUCCUAUGCCUGACCAAAUCCAGCACUGCCCUUUCAAAUCAGUCUUCAUCACAUUCCAAAGAAUACAAAAUACGCAAGUUAAUUUUAAUUUCCAAUGAAUUCUUCAGGAGAAAUUUUUCUUCCUCCUUCCUAAAAAAAAGAAUAAAAAAUGCAGAAUAGAGAUUCAAAAUGAGGGGUGGCAGCAAAAAUUCUGACUCGCAGAAGGUUGAGAGGGUGCCUUUUUCAAAUGUAUUUAUUUUACAGUUCCAAGAAGGUAAGACUACCUUCUGUUUUGAUUCAUGCUUCACCAUUCCCCACUUAAAUUUUUAAAAAUUACAUCCUUGCCUAUGUCUGUCUUGCUAUUUGACUGGUCACUCCCAAACAUAAACUGCCCUAGUUUGAAGCUUCCCAAAGCCAAGCAAAGGUGACAGACUAGUACAAAGAAGGCCGCUAGUGAGUUUUUACUGAGUGAAUCUACAUUGUUCCAUGGCCUUGGUCUGGAUAUAGAUUCUAAAGCUUCUUACACUGACACAAAUGGAGUUUCUAGCUCUCCAGGUAAUUUUCGGUGAAAGAAAAUUAUAGAAGAAGGCAUAAACCUUGGCUCACAAAAUAAAUACGCACUCAGACCCAUGUACUUCAUGAAACAUACAAGCCCAGAGCUAGACCAUGCCAUCUGUUUUAUGAGGAAAAAAAAUAAAUUCACAUGAUUUACUUACUUUAGCUCUGCCAGAAAUCAUCAGCAUCUACUUGCACAACUAAAGACAAGAAGACAAGGCAGAUGGAGGCUAAACACCGAAUACUGCCUAAUUUUGAUGUAUAUUUUUGGGUCAAACCUCUUAUAAUUUACUAUUUCCAAGAGGGAAAAUAAGCUUAUAUAAUGGCACUGAAUCAUUGGCUUCCAGUUAUGGGAAGCAAAGGAAAUUAACCUCAAGGGGAAAAAAAUGCUACAAAUAUAAAUAAUAUAGUUUCUGUUUACGAAGCAGUUUUUCAUGUACUGCCAUUUCUUUCUUUUUUUAAAGAAGAUAUGUUUACAAAAUAGGUGACCAACUAAGGUAGGUGUGUGUGAAGAGAGGCAGUGAGAGAGAGGGGAUCCUGAAAUUCUUUUCAGUAAAGGAAAAAGAUAAUUUUAGGGAUGUUUUUAAAAAUAUAUAACUUGAUGAAUUUUUUAUAGCAUGAGUAUUAUUUAGGUGCUGUCCUAGACCAGUGUGGCGUAUAGGCUAUAGAAGAUUGGUCCUGAAUGCUAAUGGCAGGGAUGAGUGUAAGAUCAUCAAAACUUAUUUGUGGGAAGGAGAGCUACUGACAGAGCCAUGUAUUACAUGACUCCAGUCUGGGCUGAUAGGCCUGCCUUAAAGCAUAGCUAGAGGGCAGGCACGGUGGCUCAUGCCUGUAAUCUCAGCACUUUGGGAGGUUGAGGCGGGCAGGUCACUUGAAGUCAGGAGUUUGAGACCAGCAACAUGGUGAAACCCCAUCUCUACUAAAAAUACGAAGAUUAGCCGGGUGUGGUAGCAUGUGCCUGUAGUCCUAGCUACUCAGGAGGCUGAGGCAGGAGAAUCGCUUGAACUGGGGAGGCAGAGGCUGCAGUGACCCAAGAUUGUGCCACUUGCACUCCAGCCUGGGUGACAGAGUGAGACUCCAUUUCAAAAAAAAAAAAAAAAAAAAAAAAGCAUAGAUAGACAAAAUGUCCUGGAAUCACUAAAAUGGAUAAAUUAUGAUAUCCAUAAAGUGGAUAAGUUAUGAUAUAUAUUCACACACUAGAUACACACAUUAUGAUAUAUUCAUAUAUAUCGUGAAGGCUAAACCCACAUGAGUCCAUAACACACUCACAGGUCUGUGCCCUUUGGCCCUGGCCCUCUCGCCAUUCGGAAGCGAUCACAGAGAACACAAUGAGUCUGUUAUUCGCUCAAUAUACAGUCAUGUGCAGCAUAACAUUUCAGUCAAUGGUGCACCGCACCCAUGAUGGUGGGCCCGCAAGAUUACAUGGAGCUGAAAAUUCCUAUUGCCUAGUGACACUGUAGCCACUGUAACACACUGCAGGGCUUUACUUUUUCUAUGUUUAGGUAUGUUUAGAUAUAUGAGCACUUACCAUUGUGUUACAAUGUAUUCAGUACAGUCGUACUGUACGCCACACAGGUUUGUGGCCUAGGAGCAAUAGGGCCAUAUCAUAUCGCCUAGGGAUGUAGUAGGCUAUACCAUGUAGGUUUAUGUAUAUACACUCUAUGAUGUUCACACGAUGACAAAACUGCCUAUCCCCAUUGUUAAAUGACACAUGACUGUAUGUGCAUUAAGUACCUACUGUGUGUCAGGUAGUGUACUUGGCAGGUGCUGAAGUAUGGUGGUGAAUCAAUGGAGAAAGUCCCUUAUGGAGUUCAUAGUCUAUGGGGAAGAAUGGUGAGCUCCAGUAUAGAUACCCAGUAUAUACAGAGAGAGGUCCAGUACAGACACCCAGUAUAGACAUAGCCAAGUGACCAAGAGCACUGGCUUGGAGUCAUUCAGAUGAGGUUUAAUCCUUGGUUCUGCUACUUGCUUUGGAAAUGUCACUCCCUAAUCACUGCUUACUUUAUAUGUAAAAUGGGAUGGUAAUGCCAGCCUUUCAGGGCUAUUGAGAAGAUUCCAUGAGACAAUGUUUAUAAAGCACUUACAACAGCAUCUAGCACCCAACAGACCUAAUAAAUGGGAGUUAUGAUGAUUGUUCUCUCAAAGAUCCAAGGGACACACACAAAGAGGUUUGCUAUUUUCUCCCCCAGAACACACCCCAAAAUGCUGAACCAGGAGCCAACUCAUAUCACCACUUUAUCACGCUCCUGUAUGACCCUGGGCAAAUCAGAUGCCCACCAGUGUCACUAGGCUAGACAGCAAAGUCUAGUUGCUAAAAAUAUACUCCAGCAGGUGGUCUACAGUGUUGCUGUAAUGGGAAUGUUUUCUGUUUUUCAAGGAGCUAAGAAGCAUUAUCGGAUGGUCUCUUGAAAAAUAACUUAUAAGCAUUUUCUCUUUCAAUACAAGCCCUACCAAGAGCACACUACCAUAAUAAAUAUUCUGGACAAUGGUUCCAAAGGGAGAGAUGAAAAGCUGUGCUCGGGGCAUUAAGCUGAGAAGCGGUGGAGUAGUCAAUAGCACAACCUCUGCAGCCAGGCUGCCUGAGUCUUCAGUCCAGCUCUGUCACUCACUAGCUGUGUAGCAAUGACCACAUCGCUCACUGGACUCAUUGCUUAAAAUCUGUAAAAUGGGAUAGUAUUAUUCCCUAUCUCAUUAGGUAGUUGUAAGGAUUAAAAUCACUAACACCUGUAGGGCAACUAAAACAGCACCUGACAUACAGAGAACAUUCCAUAAACAUUACCAAUAAUUACGCAUGGCAAACUCAAUAACUUUAUUACCUUGCUAAUAAAAACAUGAGGGCCAAAUAGCAAGAAAGCGACUGAACUACACCAGAGGUUUGAAACUUGAGUUUUCUCCUUGGCUCUCCCAUCAACUGUCUGCAUGACUGUGGGUACAUCACUUCCCUUCUAUAUUUCACUAUUCUCAUCUAUACAAAAAGCAAUAUACGCACACACCAAGAACACCUAGAGAAGCCUGAUGCAGCUUUCUGCUAAUACCAACUGGAGCCAAACAACUUAAAUUUAUUUAUCUUCCUAUCUGCAUUAGUCAGGGUUCUCCAGAGAAACAGAACCAAGAGGGAGAGAGGGAGAGGAAGAGGAAGAGGGAGAGGGCGAUUGAGAGGGAGAUUGAGAUUGAGAGAGAGAGAGACUGAGAUUGAGAUUGAGAGAGAGAGUGGUGGGGGUGGGGGUAGAUACUGAUAUUUACCUUAAGGAACUGGCUCAUGCAAUUACAGGGACUGACAAAUCCACAAUCUUCAGGGCAUGCUGGUGACCAAGGGAAGAGUUGAUGUUGCAGUCUUUUUUUUUUUUUUUUUGAGACAGAGUCUCACUCUGUCGCCCAGGCUAGAGUGCAGUUACAUGAUCUCAGCUCACUGCAACCUCUGCCUCCUGGGUUCAAGUGAUUCUCAUGCCGCAGCCUCCCAAGUAGCUGGGACUACAGGCGCCUGCCACCAUGCCCAACUAAUUUUUGUGUUUUUAAAUAGAGACAGGUUUUUGCCAUGUUGGCCAGGCUGGUCUUGAACUCCUGAUCUCAAGCGAUCCACCCAUCUCAGCCUCCCAAAGUGCUGGGAUUACAGGCGUGAGCCACCGUGCCAGGCCGAUGUUGCAGUCUUGAGUCUGAAGGGAGACUGGAGACAGAGUUCCUUCUUCUUUAGGGACUUCAAUCUUUUUCUCUUAAGGCCUUCAACUGAUGAUAUAUGAGGCCUACAUACAUUACAAAGGAUAAUCUGCUUCACUCCUUCUACUGAUAUAAAUGUUAAACCUCAUCUAAAAAACUACCUGCACAGCGACAUCUAGACUGGUGCUUGACCAAGUAUCUGGGUACUGUGGCCUCGCCAAGCUGAUACAUACAAUUAGCCAUUACACCAUCCUUUCAGAAGGGGUGAUGCCCACACCGAAGGAAAAAACCUCUAGACUCCACAGCCAUUUAAUCUUCUAUUGGAGACCAUAAUCGAGGCAAGGAAUUCAGAUGAGGCUACUCUUUUCUUCACAGGUGAAUUCCAAGCGUCUCACAGCUUCCAGGGCAUUUCUUGUUCUGGUUCCUGCUCACCUGUCUUAUCUCCUUGCUCUUCCCUCCAUUCCAGCCACACGUGGUUUUUGGUUUAAAGACACUGUGUUCUUAUCUUGCUCUGCCUGAGUACGCGCUACUUCCACGGCCUGGGGUAUGCUGUUUUCCCACUUUUUAACUGGGUCCUCAUCAUUUGAGUCUCAUGUUGAGAACCACAACUGCCUCUAGAGAGCUUCCCUGACCUGACAAGGUUAGGCCAGUAAGUUCCCACAGCCAAUCUGCACACCUCCUGCCUUACACUCAAGCCACGCCAUCAGGGCUCCCUCCCAGCCUGGCAGCUCCGUGAAGGACACACCUCUCUUGUUGGUCACAGCAUUCAUGCUGCCAAGCUGGUCCACGAAGACACAACAAAUAGCUGCUGAAUAAAUAAAUGAGGAUGCAGAUGGUUCUUAAGCCUUGACCUUCAAUCCUCCCAAUGUCCUUGAGAUUCGGCUCCAUGUCUCCAACCACUUGCUGGACACCUGAAGGCGGGAAUCUCACCAGCACCUACACUGAAUAUGCACAGAGUGGACAGAGCUUGUCUUUGCUCUCACGUACGCUGUCUUCCAAGCCUAGUACAGUAGAAAGAACACAGGCUUGGGGGUCAGGGAGGCCUGUACUGAAGUCCCUGUUCUAGAUCCUGUUACAACUGUACAAUUUUAGACCAAUUGCUAAUUUUCUCUGACCCUUAGUUUUCUCGUCUCUGAUAUAAGGAUGAAAAUACCAACCCACAAGAUUAGGAGGAGAUUAAAUGAGAUAAUAGCUAUGCAAUGCCUGGCAGAUGGCAUAGAAAUAAUGAAUGGCACCUGGGUUCAAAGCUCUGGGGGCAUUUUUGCUUCCCAUCGGCCAACCCCUAUUAUCUAGGCAGUUCCUAAAUCCCAUCUCAUAAAUUCAAUUUCUCCAUCUAGUGGCCUUCCCCUCACCCAGGCCCUCCCCACCUCCCUCCUGGACCACAACAGCAGCUCUAAAAGGCUUCCCAGCUCUGGCUAUUUCACAGUCCAGAGGCACCCACAUGCUGAUCCCCGCAAGGCCUCUUCAGGAUGGGGACUCUAGCCACUCAAAUUCUUCCAUUGCUCCCCAGUAACUUAAGUUUAAAUCAUUUAGUCACGUGCCAUUCAAGGCCCUCUGGGUUCUGGCCUCCAAGGACCUUUGCUACCUGAUCUUCUCCUUAGUGGUUUACACACAUCAUUGCCCAGCAACUACAAAUCGAUUCCUGCCCACUCUGCACCCCGGCAUUUCCCAUCCCUACCUAUGCCUUUGCUCAUGUUUCCUUCAACGAGGAUACUCCAAGACCUCAAGUCCAACAUUACCUUUCUUUCAAUGUCUGGCUCAAAGGCUCUUUAUCCAUGAAGCAUUUCUUGAUCAUCCCAGCCACAGAUAAACACACAACCUUUCUUUUCUAUGAACUUGUGGUAUGUUUAUCUCUCUACCUUUUAUACAUUUCUCUUUCUCUCUGCAUUUAUUCUUUGUUUUUCUUUUUUCUAAGACAUCUUGUUAUAGCAUCUCUGCAUUUAUUCUAAUUUUAUCUGUGCACAGAACCUUAGCUUCAAGCUCCUUGAAGGGUAGCAUCGUGUCCCAGCCUACACUGUCACACUCAGGAGAAGCACCCAGUAGAUGGUGGCUCUGUAUCUACCUACAGAGUGCCACUGAGGAGCACAGGCCUUCAGGUCUGUAGCCCAUCAGCUGAGCCUUCGCAUCAGCUCCUAGAACAGUGCCUGGCAUAGAGCAACACCCAGAAAUCAUUGUUAAAUGAAAUUAUCCACAAGGGAGUCACCUAGUGUCUACAUGAUAGAAAUUCUUUCCCUGUAGAAUAUAACAUGAAAGGGGGUGUGAAGAAGCCUUCUCUCUCCCCAUACUUCCAGAUGCAAGAAAGCUUCACGUUAACUGUCUCCCACAAGCUAUAUAGCUACUCUCGGCAAUAAACAUGACAUAUAAUACUUUGGUGCAUUUGGCGUGUCAAAAAUAUUCAAUUUUAACAUGUCAGAAAGAAUCAUUUUUCAAAAACAGUCUCCUUUGGAGAAGAGAGUUAUUCAAACAAUAUCCAAAACCUUUUUGGAUCUCACAUUUUGAAGAGGUCCAACUUCCGUUGGUUAAAAAAAAAAGUCUAUUAUAUAAUGAAAGCCUUACAACUGACUGAGAAUUAUAGAAUUUCAGAAAUAAAUCCCAGUCUGUUCAUCCUUAAAAUAAGAAGCUAUUUUUCAGGGCUUUCAUGUCCAAAAUUAUAUUAUGUAAGCCACUUCAUAAAUCAUGUACACAACAAUUCUCAUUUUUCCAUUAAAUCUCUAUUUUGAAAUUUAAUUCACUCAUCCAUUUUUUCAGAGAUGGGAUCUUGUUCUGUCGCUCAGGCUAGAGUGCAGUGGUGUGAUCAUAGCUCACUAUAGCCUUCAACUCCAGGGCUCAAGGGAUCCUCCUGCCUCAGCCUCCCAAGUAGCUAGGACUAUAGAUGCAUGCCACCAUGUGUGGCUUAUUUUUUUAUUUUAUUUUAUUUUUUUGUAGAGAUGGGGAUCUAUGUUGCCCAGGCUGGUCUUGAACUCCUGGCCUCAAGUGAUCCUCCCACCUCAGCCUCCUAAAGUGCUGGGAUCACAGGUAUGAGCCACCGUGCCCUGUCUUUUUAUUUUGACCCCCUCUUGGCUCUAACAGCACACGUGUACCUCUGUUACAGGACAUCAGUCUACAGUGCUACCUCUUUUUAUAGUCAUUUAUCUCACUAACCUGUGUCUUUCUGAAAUGCCAGACCCAUGUUCACUUUUGAAUCUACAGUACCUUCUACUGAAAUGUAGUAGCUGGCUCAGUCCAUGUUUAUAACAUGAAACAAUGACUUGAAUCAGUGGUUUGAUCACCUACCAUAUUCAUGAGACCUAACUAUUGGCUCCCUCCUACCCUCAAAGGACAGAGAUUUCCCACCGCUGUGGAUAGUCAAAAGAAGAUAGAAAGUUCUUAAGUGCUUCAUUUAAUGUGUUUAUUUAGUCCCCUUGAAAUAAAUACUGAUGGGUAAAACCAAAUUAAAUCACAUGCUAAAAAGGAUAGCCAGUCAAGUACCUAGCUGAGUAUCUAAAAUUAGUACACACACACACCAAAAACAAAAACAAAAGCACGGAAAAAGCCAAAAAGCCCUGCCUAUUCAGCCCUGUGUACCCUUCACUGACUAGGAAGUGACCCACUUUUCAGGUAUCAUCCAAUCAUACAAACUGGGCAUCAGUGUCGUCAGAAGCCCACACAUGUUCAUCUCAAGACUCAACAACAUAAACACGUCUAUGUUUCCAAGAAAGCUCGUUGCAAGUUGGUGACAAAUUUGGAAAAAAAAAAAAAAAAAAAAGCUCUAAAUAAAAUUACAGACAUGACUUUCACAUUUGAGCUCUCCAAAUAUAUUGUUAUGGGUUUAAGAAAUACCACACUUCUGUGUCACAAAGAGAGUUCUAAAAACCAGUAUGUUCUGAGAAGUCCAUACCUGCUACUUGGGAACUAAACAAGGCUUGUAACAACUGAAUCUCUUUAGAAGACUGUUAACACCUUGCUUAAGUGUGUAAAAAUUGAAAAUAAACAUAACUGAAGAUUUGAGAAUUUUUCAGUUAUAACACAGUUCUUAUGAAAGAUGGAAAAUAUUUCAUAUUCUCUUAUAUAUUUAUAAAAACAGCAGAUAUUUCUUCUAUUUACAGAGGUGGAAACGAAGGCAAGCAAAUGCAGUCAUUUUGUUGGAGGACUAUUCUACAUUUCCAAAGCAAUGAAGACAUGACCCCAAACUAAACUCUCCUGCAACGUAUUCUUACAAGAAAAAGGCUAAAAGCCUUAUUGCUUAACAAAAGCUAAACAAUGUGAAUUAUUUCAAUAACUGGUCCAAAAAGCUGCAGCAGGCCACUGAGUAACUUGGACAUCUGUUGCCAUGCUUGUUCAUGCUUUCCCCUGAGAUGACAUAUAUGUAUCAUCAUUAAUAGGUGUCCUUGAUUUUGAUAAGAACAAUAUUCCUGUACAUCCCCACAUCUCCUGUACAUAGCCAUGUGCUGCCAUCUUCUGAUUAUGCCCAGUGGAGUGUAAACAUUUUUUCAUGAAAAAGCAAAAUCAAUAAAAGUAAAACUCCCCACUUUUCCUGCCAGUAGUGCCCUUGGUAACAAACAGGGCAGAGACACCAAUACAGAGAUUACAAUACUCUCAGACAUAAUUCAAGCAGAACUUUAAAUGGAUCAGUGCAUGUUAUAAACUUUCUUUUUUUUGCAAGUGCCAAGCGUGCUUAUGCUACUAUUCAUUCUGAGAUAGACAGAUCAUCAAUGACCUUCUGGGUCACUGACUAGGGAGAAAGCUGACUAUAAAAAAGAGUGGGAGAAAAAUAAAGUGGGGGUUGCUUCCUUCCACCCUAGACCCCCUACUGCCUUGAAUGAAAGAAGACAGAUGGCAGCCACCUUUCCCUUUAAUUAGGAGGGGCAGCUUAGAAGGGACAGUCCUGCUCACUUGGCACUAUCUUUAACAAGACUGUUUAGAUGGCAAUGCUCUGCUCAUUCGCCCUUCUUUCAAACUGUUCUUAAUUUUUCACUUACAAACUGAAUUUCCGUAAAUUUAAUGGUGAAACAAUUACAGCUCUGACUACAACGCUAUACAUAAAUGACACACUUAAAGAUGUUUGCUGAAUUAAAAAUUCACAGAUAUUCCUAUAAAGAGGCUGGAAUGUUUCAAAUGAAAUACAGCUACCUCCAGUCCUAUCAGCACCACUUUGAGAUAAAAUAUGAAUUCCCAGGACACAGAAGCUCUAACUUAAAUUCACAACAUUCCAUACUAGACAUAGAAGUAACACCCCUGGUUUCUGCUUUCCAGUUCCACACUCCAGUCGUGCUCCCACCUUUUACCUUCAAGGUAUUGCUGUUCAAGUUGACAAAAAAAAAAAAAAAAAAAAAAAAAAAAAAUUCUACAGUAAAAAUCAGUCCUAAAUGUAGAAGGGAAGAUCAUUUAAUAACAAAUCACAAACCACUCUUCAUCUCUAUUUGCUCUGCAUUUUCAGAAACCAUAGAACUUUAUAUUACAAGUUAAUCAAUCCACAUCACAUCUCUGGAGAGAGGAUCAGCAUAAAAAAACAAACAAAAUGGAAAACAGGAGCCAUGUGUCAGAAUUAGGCUAGUGUCACAGGAUCUUCUAUGGAGGUGACGAAGCCUCUUCAUUAUUUUCUAGAGGCAAUUAAGCACAUUUUCCAUAAAUCUACAUGGCACAAAACUUUCUAACAUGAAAGUAAAGUUUAGUUGCUGUUGACAGGGUUAGGUCUCUAUACAUUGUAUCUCAUUUUUAUAUUAAAUUUGUUUUUAUCAACAUCAUUAAAUAAUUGAUAUUCUCGCAGCUCUUUUCCAUUUCCUGAUGCGUUUUUAAAUUGCAGCCUCUUGUCUGUGACACCUUCCCACCUAGUUUCUGCACAAUUCCUGCACAAGGACCCUCUGCGUUAACAUCGGUCCUGGGGAAACCCACUGUGCCUGCUUCCAAAUGGAAAUCAGGGCGGCGAACUGGGGCUGUUUUGCUAGAGGUGCUCCUGGUCAUACCAUGCAAAACGCCUUGUCUGUGUCAUAGUCAUUUACCUAAUGGCAAAGUUCUUGGACCAUUUAGAAACAAAACAAAACACUUUUUGUUUUCUCCUUGAUAAUAAAUUUCAAUCUCUUCCUAUCUCUAAACAGCAAGCCGGCACACUAGAUAUGGGAAGAGGGAAAAGAUAAAAGAAGCAAUCAGCUAUUGAAUAAACUAUAUCCUACUUCCCAAUGAAGGGGAAAAAACUUGGCAUUUGCCGGAUAUUGAGUGUCUAAUAACAUUAGCAAGAAAAAACACGCAGGAGAGACUAACAAAGAAACAAACAGAACUUACUUUGUUUCCCAGCACAGUAAGCAGGUCGGCAAUGAGAUGACGGCGAUUCCUUCCUCAAGGUCCCUGCUUUCACUUUAAAAGCUGUGUGAGUGCUUACAUCCAGGUUUGCCGUGGAACUCCAAAUGUCUGUGCUUCUAAAGAUGCCCCAAGUUCCCAGUUCAUGUCAGACACUGAAGACACACUUGUGAGGAUCGGGAAGCCCCGCGGUAGCCCCAGUCGACCUCUGGGUGCCACGUGGCACCUCCACUGUUGUGACUACACACACAAGCCCGGGACACCCACUUGUUAGCUCAGGAACCAGGCGGCCAGCAGAUAUCUGCUCAGAUGAACGUCCAGAGACUCAAUCCUCUGGCAUUCUCAGGUUCAAGGUUGGAAAACGCAUUAAGACGAGAGCCACACAGUCAGCAGAAUCUGCGCCAUUAGCUUUCUCGUACUUAAACGUCUGUCUAAAUAAGAGUCAAAGGCACAAAAUGAGAAGGAAUAUCUUACUAGGGAUUGUGACUUGCACUUGCCAUAUUUUGAAAGUACUGGUUCCUAUCUUGCUCUCUCAAACUGCAUUUAAGAAACCCUACAUCAGAAGUUAUUUUCAUUUCUUCUGUGAAAAACAGAAAAUCAAUAAAAGACUGGAAAAACAUAUGAAAUAUAAUUCUGCUUAAAAACAUAACCAUUAUUUAAUCUCAACGGGCCAAUUUAUUUUAAUCCAAAGAGAAGAAGAAAAAAAACACAUGUAUAAAUUUAAAGUUUGUUUUGAAAAAUUACUUCAUCCAUGUACUGUCCAGCUCAUAAAAACAAAACUUCUUCCAGCGAAACGGGACACUUUGACCUUGUUUACUGCAGUGUUUGGAAACCGCUGUCUCGUAACUCCUGACAUCACCGGUGGUGCAUUAGCACCUGGACUGCUGUUGGCUGCACAUGCUGAUACCCCAACUCUCUUGAAUCACCCGUGGCUGAACAAAUACUCACAGAACAGUAAGGAUAGUGGCAUUAGCAUUAAACCCACAAAACUCACAAGACCUUUUAGAAGUGUCACAUCUCUCUGUUCACUUAUACAAGAAAACAAAAGCAUUGUAUAUCUGAUACUUUUUAAGUCCCGGCAUCCAGACUGAGUACAGACAAUUCUUUCUUCUGACCCUCUCCCUGCCCAAGAAACGGGAUUCCUUUCUCACCAACCGCCAUAUUGGCAAGAAUUUCUGCCACAGAGUUUUACUAUUAAUACUAGAAGUUCCAACCUACUUUCCACCAAUAAAAAGUUCCCACAAAUCUUCCUAGGGGAGAAUUUAUUUAAGUAUAUUUUAGAGUUUCAAAGAGCACUGCAUUCUUAAGUUUCACAAAAUCAAAUUUAUUUGUUUUCUUUUAUGGAACAUGCUUUUGGUGGUGUGCCUGCCUGUUGCAUUUCUAAAGAAACAAUUUUCUCCUGUAAGCCUGACACAUUUCCCUUUCUGCAUUCCCCAGUUCUUUUUCUAAAUACACCAAAAUCAAAGCAACGGAUAGUUGCAACCACUGGAAGCAAGCCACAAUUCAAUUUGUGCAAAUAUCUCCCCAGAUUCACUUCUUAAAUAAAACUAAAUCCUGGUCCUACAAUGAUAGUGGAAUUUUACAGAGAAAUUAAAAACCCAAGUUUAAUGUGUCUGAAAUCAACUGAUAACCUUUUACUGAAACCACUUAAAAACAUCACGUCCUUAAACUAUAGUCACCAAAAAAUAUAGAACACAAAAUACAUAUUUGAGCAAUUAUAGCCCUUGUUUGUCAAAGAGGAGUAAAAAGAAAAACAUCCAGAGUUAAUACAAUUAAUUAACUCUAGCUAAAGAACUACUAAAAAGACCCUCCAAAUGCCAUGCUGUUACUACGACAACUUCAAAAUUGCUUGAGAAAAUGUGCUGGAUUGUCAGAUUCGUGAUAAAACAAGUGUCAUCCUGCCUGCUAGGAAUUACUUUCAUUUAUAUCAGGCAGCAGAAAGGCUAAAUGGCCACUUGCAAUUCUGAAAUAUUAGGUUGUUACCUUUUGAUAGAUGCUGUACUCUUCAUUCAGAUCAUGAGAAGAGUUAAAAAAUAAAUGAAUCUCUCUCAAUCAUCGGAACCCUUUUGGUUUCAUUCCUGCAACGAUACCACUCCCACCGUCUAUCUAGUUGGUACAUUAUUUUGUAUAAGGAAAGCAGCAAAGUCUGAUUCAAUCUGAAAGGGAAGGGCCAAGAAAAACCCCUAACAGUAUCUCGUUUCCAAAUACAAAUAGGUGAGCAGACACUCACUCUGAUAUUUAAGGGUUAAUAAUGACACAGAAAAAGAAAACGGCAUUUUCUCCCUUAAAAUUCCUGCUCCUAGGUAUUCAGGCUGAUUUACAUUUUACGUAAUCUGAUGGCUCAAUCAGGAAGUGAGAAUUUUAAGUGCGUGAGUUAUGGACGGGAGGAAGCAUGUGACCCAUACAUAGCAAAGAAAAUUAUGCAGCAGAUGAGCACGCUAAGAAAAAUAAACUAAGCAGUUUAAAAAUAGUGUUUUGAGGAUAUAUCGACCCAUGAAUAUACUAUGGCUUUUGAGAACUAAUAAUUCAUUUGGACGCCUUAAAAAUAAAUCCCCAGGACUGUUUUAAAAAAUAUUACAAGAUCCAAGGAAUCCACGGUGAGAAAUUAAAGUUUAAUUAUCCAAGAAACUGUUUCCCUCAAGUGCAUAUCCAUUCAUGGUUUAUGUUAAAGGCUAUUUUUCAUCAUUAUUUAAAGAUCAGGCAAUACGUAAUAUAAUCAAACAAAACACAGAUUGCAGUGAUG